AGUAUUUUGUAAAGUAUCACAAAAUGGGUAUCACUUUUAAUCUACAUUUUUGUAGGUCAUAUACAUAAUGAGGAUACUUUCCCCUACAUUUAGUUUUGUAUUUCCAAAUCUAUAAAUCAUCUCCUGUUCCUAUGAAACUAUGGGUGUGGUAAUCUUAGUGCCAUUUUGUUUUAGGUGAUAUACAAGCUGGGAUGGAGAAAAUUGUGAAAAGGACCUGAAAGUGUUGAUAAGAAAAUAAGAGAAAGAAGUCUUCAAAAAGGGAAGUGAUCUAGAAUUUUCCCAGCAUACUGCUAAAUGCAUUGUGAAACUACAGACUUGGUUUGUUUGCAAUUCACAAAUAGGAGCCU
rnacentral:lncRNA from 1 species